rnacentral:rRNA from 1 species
GAUGAACGCUGGCGGCGUGCUUAACACAUGCAAGUCGAACGGAAAGGCUCCUGCUUGCAGGGGUACUCGAGUGGCGAACGGGUGAGUAACACGUGGGUGACCUGCCCUGCACUUCGGGAUAAGCCUGGGAAACUGGGUCUAAUACCGGAUAGGACGAUGGUUUGGAUGCCAUUGUGGAAAGUUUUUCGGUGGGGGAUGAGCUCGCGGCCUAUCAGCUUGUUGGUGGGGUAAUGGCCUACCAAGGCGUCGACGGGUAGCCGGCCUGAGAGGGUGAACGGCCACAUUGGGACUGAGAUACGGCCCAGACUCCUACGGGAGGCAGCAGUGGGGAAUAUUGCACAAUGGGCGGAAGCCUGAUGCAGCAACGCCGCGUGGGGGAUGACGGCCUUCGGGUUGUAAACUCCUUUCGCUAGGGACGAAGCGCGAGUGACGGUACCUGGUGAAGAAGCACCGGCUAACUACGUG